AUUGAACGCUGGCGGCAUGCCUUACACAUGCAAGUCGAACGGCAGCACGGGGGCAACCCUGGUGGCGAGUGGCGAACGGGUGGGUAAUGCAUCGGAACGUGCCCAGUAGUGGGGGAUAACUAGUCGAAAGAUUAGCUAAUACCGCAUACGACCUAUGGGUGAAAGCAGGAGAUUCGCAAGAACCUCGCGCUAUCGGAGCGGCCGAUGUCUGAUUAGCUAGNGGCGGGGUAAAGGACCCACCAAGGCGACGACCAGUAGCUGGUCUGAGAGGACGACCAGCCACACUGGGACUGAGACACGGCCCACGACUCCUACGGGAGGCAGCAGUGGGGAAUUUUAGGUACAAUGGGCGCAAGCCUGAUCCAGCCAUGCCGCGUGCGGGAAGAA
rnacentral:rRNA from 1 species